GAUGGCAGUCGAUCAGUCAUUGCCUUUUCCCCAAUUUUUCAUCAUUUUCUCCCAAAUUUGCCCCCAGUUCAAUGUUUGUCGCCUACAUGACGCCUGGACAUUGAAGGAUGGAAUCAAAAGGUUAUGGUGUUCAAUGCUUCACCGGUUCGACUUCUCCGCAAUCAUUAUAGUCGGUUUACACACACAAAUGCCGUCUGAUCACAACCCAACCCUACUGCAUAUAAAUCCCAAAUCAAUCGAUCAAUUCUCCAAAUUAGGGCAUUCAAAUCUCAGAUCUAAAGGUUUAGAACGCAUAUGUGGUGUGCUGGAAGAAAGCUAAGCUUCACAUUCUUAAAAAUAUAUCUGGAAUUAUCAAACCAGCAAGGAUGACACUUUUGUUGGGGCCACCAUCUUCUGGUAAGACAACACUUCUGUUGGCUUUGGCGGGAAGAUUGGAUCCGAGCUUAAAAGUUGAAGGGGAGAUAAGUUACAACGGUCAUAAACUCAAUGAGUUUGAGCCUCGAAGGACAGCGGCUUACAUCAGUCAGAACUAUAUUCAUGCUGGAGAAAUGACUGUUAAGGAGACCUGUUGGAUUAUUCGGGUUUGUUUACGGGUCAUGGGUCGAUGCGUU